UCAGGCCUAACACAUGCAAGUCGAACGGUAAGGCCCUUUCGGGGGUACACGAGUGGCGGACGGGUGCGUAACGCGUAUGCAACUUACCCUGUAGAGGGGGAUAGCCUGGAGAAAUUCAGAUUAAUACCCCAUAGUAUUACGGAGUCGCAUGGCUUUGUAAUUAAAACUUCGGUGCUACAGGAUGGGCAUGCGUGACAUUAGCUAGUUGGUGAGGUAACGGCUCACCAAGGCUACGAUGUCUAGCUGGUCUGAGAGGAUGAUCAGCCACACUGGGACUGAGACACGGCCCAGACUCCUACGGGAGGCAGCAGUAGGGAAUAUUGGACAAUGGGCGAAAGCCUGAUCCAGCCAUGCCGCGUGAAGGAAGAAGGUUCUCUGAAUUGUAAACUUCUUUUAGCAGGGGAUAAACCAGGGCUAUACGCCUUGUUGAAGGUACCUGCAGAAUAAGCACCGGCUAACUCCGUGCCAGCAGCCGCGGUAAUACGGAGGGUGCAAGCGUUGUCCGGAUUUAUUGGGUUUAAAGGGUGCGUAGGCGGAUUAUUAAGUCAGUGGUGAAAGCCUUCGGCUCAACCGGAGAACUGCCAUUGAUACUGAUAGUCUUGAGUAUGUCCGAGGUAUUUGGAAUGCGUAGUGUAGCGGUGAAAUGCAUAGAUAUUACGCAGAACACCAAUUGCGAAGGCAGAGUACUGGGGACAUAACU
rnacentral:rRNA from 1 species